rnacentral:rRNA from 1 species
GACGAACGCUGGCGGCGUGCUUAACACAUGCAAGUCGAACGGAAAGGCCCUGCUUUUGUGGGGUGCUCGAGUGGCGAACGGGUGAGUAACACGUGAGUAACCUGCCCUUGACUUUGGGAUAACUUCAGGAAACUGGGGCUAAUACCGGAUAGGAGCUCCUGCUGCAUGGUGGGGGUUGGAAAGUUUCGGCGGUUGGGGAUGGACUCGCGGCUUAUCAGCUUGUUGGUGAGGUAGUGGCUUACCAAGGCUUUGACGGGUAGCCGGCCUGAGAGGGUGACCGGGCACAUUGGGACUGAGAUACGGCCCAGACGCCUACGGGAGGCAGCAGUGGAGAGUAUUGCACAAUGGGCGGAAGCCUGAGGCAGCAACGCCGCGUGCGGGAUGACGGCCUUCGGGUUGUAAACCGCUUUCGCAUGUGACGAAGCGUGAGUGACGGUAAUGGGUAAAGAAGCACCGGCUAACUACGUG